UACGUAGGGUGCGAGCGUUAAUCGGAAUUACUGGGCGUAAAGCGUGCGCAGGCGGUUCGCUGUGUCCGAUGUGAAAGCCCCGGGCUCAACCUGGGAAUGGCAUGGGAAACUGGCGGGCUGGAGUGUGGCAGAGGGGGGUGGAAUUCCGCGUGUAGCAGUGAAAUGCGUAGAGAUGCGGAGGAACACCGGUGGCGAAGGCAGCCCCCUGGGCCAACACUGACGCUCAGGCACGAAAGCGUGGGGAGCAAACAGG
rnacentral:rRNA from 1 species